UUGCCUGGCCUAUUGUGGGUUUCUGUGUUGCGUACCUAAGCCAUUGUAUUGUCUUGGUUGAUUGCAGUUAAUUUCGUCUCGUGCCAUUUUUGUGGCAUCGGAUGAACCCCAAAGCGGUCUCUUUGAUCCACAACAUUACGCUUGCGUUGAUGUUGUGGCCCAUUGAGCGUUGCUUGGUAUCCUGGAUAUGGAAAACGAUGUGGGCAUGGGGUCUCAUGGGAUCCUUGUUUUGCCCUCAUUUAGCGUUUGUGCCUCUCUUAACAUGACUUGCUGUCUUGCCUGGUUUGGCCUUGCCAUCGGGAGGGUUUGCCAAAGUUAACAAUGCUUACUGUCUUGCCUGAUUUGGCCUUGCCAUCGGGAGGGUUUGUCAAAGUUAACAAUGCUUACUGUCUUGCCUGAAACGGCUUUGCCAUCGGGAGGGUUUGUCAAAGUUAACAAUGCUUGCUGUCUUCCCUGAUUGGCCUUGCCAUUGGGAGGGUUUGCCAAAGUUAACAACAGCUUACUGUCUUGCCUGUUUUGGCCUUGCCAUUGGGAGGGUUUGUCAAAGUUAACAACGCUUACUGUCUUGCCUAUAUUGGCCUUGCCCUCAGGAGGGUUUGUCAAAAGUUAACAAUGCCUACUGUCUUGCCUGAUUUGGCGUGGCCAUCAGGAGGGUUUGCCAAAGUUAACAUGACCUACUGUCUUGCCUGAAUCGGCUUUGCCAUUGGGAUCAUGAGGGGGGGUCAAAGAGUGGCGCAUCACCUUGAAUGACUUGCCCGUCACGGGUUGGCUCGUACCAGCGGGUGGGCUAUGUCAAUGAGGAAUGC
rnacentral:misc_RNA from 1 species